UAAAGGCUUAGUACAGAACUUAAUCUAGUAGCUCGUUUACAUAAAUUUUGGAAGCAUCUCCCUUGUAAAAAUGCCCUCUUCCAAUGCCAUAUACUAACAACAAGAAUAAUAGACUAAUAAAAAUAUGUAUGCAUCAUUUUUCAACCUUAUCUCAAUCACAAUAUAUCACAAAACAGCCCACCCACCUUAAUCACUUCAUACAUAAAACGACAACAAAAGUAGCAUCAAACAACCUAAAAAAUUAACGAUGAAUGACAUGACCACCAUUUCGUCAUUAUGUGGUUUUAUCCACACCUUUUAUCCUCCAAUACUCCGUACAACAUCAGCAAAGUAGACAGCCUAAAAGCAACAAGAAACAGCUCACAAAAUAGUCCGCUACAAAUCGAUUAACUCGAACUCAUAGUUUCCGAUCACCGUCUCGUGAGUUCUAACUAUUAGGAAAUAAAUUUAUAAACCUCUUGAUAUUUAAAGCUUAAAUACAAAAAUUAUACGUUUUCUUAACAAUGAAGUACUUUUCAAAACUCAAACUACAAAGAAAAAGAUAGGUGAUAUAGCGAUACUUACAUAGUAGGGGUUGUUCAAGUGUUAUCGCUUCUUGAUUUCGUACCCCAGAUGUUAAUCCUCUUUGAAACCCUUGAAGAGAGCUUAUGUUAAGUUUAGGGGUUUUAUCUGGUUUUUUU
rnacentral:lncRNA from 1 species